rnacentral:rRNA from 1 species
AGGACGAACGCUGGCGGCGUGCUUAACACAUGCAAGUCGAACGGUGAGGCCUUUCGGGGCUGAUCAGUGGCGAACGGGUGAGUAACACGUGGGCAAUCUGCCCAAGAUUCUGGGACAACACCGGGAAACCGGUGCUAAUACCGGAUAUGACGCGUCCCCGCAUGGGGUGCGCGUGGAAGGCUCCGGCGAUCUGGGAUGACGCCCGCGGCCUAUCAGCUUGUUGGUGGGGUAAUGGCCUACCAAGGCGACGACGGGUA